GUAGUCCUGAGGCUCCCAAGGCGCAGGCUCGUCUCCCCCCUCCCUUCUAAGGCGGCAUGAAGAAUGCGCGCGCAGCCUCGACGCCAUGAUUGGUUCUUUGGCCUCGAACCAGUUCUUUAUCUGAGGUCAGGCCAGGCCCCGGACCCAAUUCCAGUGGGGAGCCAGGAUAUGUGUCAGAGAAGAAUCCUAUUCACCUGUGUCUAUCUAAGUGACUGUCUGUCUUCUCAAGACUUUGCCUUUCCCCAGCAAGAGAGCACUGAGCAGGAGAAGAUGAAUUCUGUACUUCUGACAGCCAGAUCCCCGUCUAGGAUCUCCCUUAACUCAGAUUCCUCCUGUGACCCAACAUGAAUGGAGGCUGGUCGCUUCUGCUAUUGUGGCAAUUCUAGAGGAUGUGCAGGUUUAAGGUAAGAGAUGUGGAAAACGGAGUGACUUUUCCAAGACUACAGUAACCC
rnacentral:lncRNA from 1 species